rnacentral:rRNA from 1 species
UGCAAGUCGAGCGGUAAGGUUUUCGGACCCUAGAGCGGCGAACGGGUGAGUAACGCGUACGAAACCUACCUUUAAGAGAGGGAUAGCCCUGGGAAACUGGGAGUAAUACCUCAUAGUAUUCAUUUACCGCAUGGUUUAUGGAUUAAAGCUACGGCGCUUAAAGAUGGUCGUGCGUCUGAUUAGCUAGUUGGUAGGGUAACGGCCUACCAAGGCUACGAUCAGUAGGGGGCGUGAGAGCGUGGCCCCCCACACGGGUACUGAGACACGGACCCGACUCCUACGGGAGGCAGCAGUAAGGAAUAUUGGGCAAUGGACGCAAGUCUGACCCAGCCAUCCCGCGUGCAGGACGUAUGCCCUAUGGGUUGUAAACUGCUUUUGUUUGGGAAGAAAUGCAUUCUUUUAAGAGUAUUUGACGGUGGGGGGACGAAUAAGCACCGGCUAACUCCGUGCCAGCAGCCGCGGUAAUACGGAGGGUGCAAGCGUUAUCCGGAAUCACUGGGUUUAAAGGGUGCGUAGGCGGCCAGAUAAGUCAGAGGUGAAAGUUUCCGGCUCAACCGGGAGAUUGCCUUUGAUACUGUUUGGCUUGAAUCAGAUUGAGGUUGGCGGAAUGUGACAUGUAGCGGUGAAAUGCAUAGAUAUGUCAUAGAACAUCGAUUGCGAAGGCAGCUGGCUGGAUCUGUAUUGACGCUGAGGCACGAAA